UACGGGAGGCAGCAGUGGGGAAUAGUUGCACAAUGGGCGCAAGCCUGAUGCAGCCAUGCCGCGUGUGUGAAGAAGGCCUUCGGGUUGUAAAGCACUUUCAGUUGUGAGGAAGGUGGUGUCGUUAAUAGCGGCAUCAUUUGACGUUAGCAACAGAAGAAGCACCGGCUAACUCCGUGCCAGCAGCCGCGGUAAUACGGAGGGUGCGAGCGUUAAUCGGAAUUACUGGGCGUAAAGCGCAUGCAGGUGGUUUGUUAAGUCAGAUGUGAAAGCCCGGGGCUCAACCUCGGAACUGCAUUUGAAACUGGCAGACUAGAGUACUGUAGAGGGGGUAGAAGUUUCAGGUGUAGCGGUGAAAUGCGUAGAGAUCUGAAGGAAUACCGGUGGCGAAGGCGGCCCCCUGGACAGAUACUGACACUCAGAUGCGAAAGCGUGGGGAGCAAACAGGAUUAGAUACCCUGUAG
rnacentral:rRNA from 1 species